rnacentral:rRNA from 1 species
CAGUAGCCACGGUAAUACGUAGGGUGCAAGCGUUAAUCGGAAUUACUGGGCGUAAAGCGUGCGCAGGCGGUUAUAUAAGACAGAUGUGAAAUCCCCGGGCUCAACCUGGGAACUGCAUUUGUGACUGUAUAGCUAGAGUACGGCAGAGGGGGAUGGAAUUCCGCGUGUAGCAGUGAAAUGCGUAGAUAUGCGGAGGAACACCGAUGGCGAAGGCAAUCCCCUGGGCCUGUACUGACGCUCAUGCACGAAAGCGUGGGGAGCAAACAGGAUUAGAUACCCCCGUAGUCCCUGUCCUUAUACC